UAGCUCAGUGGUAGAGCACGUGCCUAGCAUGCACGAGGUCCUGGGUUCAAUCCCCAG
rnacentral:tRNA from 1 species